rnacentral:rRNA from 1 species
UACGAAGGGGGCUAGCGUUGCUCGGAAUGACUGGGCGUAAAGGGCGCGUAGGCGGCCGUUCAAGUCGGGGGUGAAAGCCUGUGGCUCAACCACAGAAUUGCCUUCGAUACUGGACGGCUCGAGACCGGAAGAGGUCAGUGGAACUGCGAGUGUAGAGGUGAAAUUCGUAGAUAUUCGCAAGAACACCAGUGGCGAAGGCGGCUGACUGGUCCGGUUCUGACGCUGAGGCGCGAAAGCGUGGGGAGCAAACAGG